UACGUAGGUGGCAAGCGUUGUCCGGAUUUAUUGGGUUUAAAGGGUGCGUAGGCGGCCCUGUAAGUCAGUGCUGAAAUAUCCCAGCUUAACUGGGAGGGUGGCAUUGAUACUGCGGGGCUAGAGUACAGAUGAGGUAGGCGGAAUUGACGGUGUAGCGGUGAAAUGCUUAGAUAUGACAUAGAACACCGAUAGCGAAGGCAGCUUGCUACACAAUCAUUGACACUGAGGCACGAAAGCGUGGGGAUCAAACAGG
rnacentral:rRNA from 1 species